UACGGGGGGGGCAAGCGUUGUUCAGAAUUACUGGGCGUAAAGGGCGCGUAGGCGGCCUUCUAAGUCAGACGUGAAAUCCCUCGGCUCAACCGAGGAACUGCGUCUGAUACUGGAAGGCUUGAAUCCGGGAGAGGGAUGUGGAAUUCCAGGUGUAGCGGUGAAAUGCGUAGAUAUCUGGAGGAACACCAAUUGCGAAGGCAGCUCGCUGGAACGUAACUGACGCUGAGACGCGAAAGCGUGGGGAGCAAACAGG
rnacentral:rRNA from 1 species